rnacentral:rRNA from 1 species
AGUCGAACGGAGCAUUUCGGUGCUUAGUGGCGGACGGGUGAGUAACGCGUGAGAAUCUGCCCUUUGGAUGGGGACAACAGUUGGAAACGACUGCUAAUACCCGAUGAGCCGAGAGGUAAAAGAUUAAUUGCCAAAGGAUGAGCUCGCGUCCGAUUAGUUAGUUGGUGAGGUAAAGGCUCACCAAGGCAGCGAUCGGUAGCUGGUCUGAGAGGAUGAUCAGCCACACUGGAACUGAGACACGGUCCAGACUCCUACGGGAGGCAGCAGUGGGGAAUUUUCCGCAAUGGGCGCAAGCCUGACGGAGCAAGACCGCGUGGGGGAUGAAGGUUUGUGGAUUGUAAACCCCUUUUGACAGGGAAGAUGAUGACGGUACCUGUCGAAUCAGCCUCGGCUAACUCCGUGCCAGCAGCCGCGGUAAUACGGAGGAGGCAAGCGUUAUCCGGAAUUAUUGGGCGUAAAGCGUCCGUAGGUGGUUGUACAAGUCUUUUGUCAAAGCGCGAGGCUUAACUUCGUAAGGGCAGGAGAAACUGUAGAGCUAGAGUGCGGUAGGGGUAGAGGGAAUUCCCAGUGUAGCGGUGAAAUGCGUAGAUAUUGGGAAGAACACCGGUGGCGAAAGCGCUCUACUGGGCCUGCACUGACACUGAGGGA